GUCAGAAGUGUGUCUGUCUGUACCCCUCCUCUCCACCCCAAUGGGAGCUUUGAAUAUCCUUGUCUUUCUCUUCCAUACCAAAGUUUGGUGUGAAACAACCCUUCUUUACUGUGCUUCAUUGCUUCAGUAAUCAGGGAAAUACACACACAUGUAUCUGCUGCUUUUGGUUUUGUGGGUGUGAGUGGACAAGUUUUUAAAAAACAAUAAUAAAGAUAAAAACCAUCAAAUGGAUGUAUAAUCCAACUCCUUCCAAUUCUCUUACAUGCCUCUCCCCCGUCCCUGUGUGGAAUAUGGAAAUCAAUGCAACUGGCUGCCCAAAAGUUACAGAAUUUAUUUUCUAGAGGGCAAGCUAGUUGUACAAGAUCA
rnacentral:lncRNA from 1 species